CUACGGGAUGCUCCAGUCGAGAAUCUUCCGCAAUGGACGAAAGUCUGACGGAGCGACGCCGCGUGCGGGAUGAAGGCCUUCGGGUUGUAAACCGCUGUCAGUGGGGAGGAAAUGCAUCAGGGUUCUCCCUGGUGUUUGACCGAUCCGCAGAGGAAGCGCAGGCUAAGUUCGUGCCAGCAGCCGCGGUAACACGAACUGCGCGACGUUAUUCGGAAUCACUGGGCUUAAAGAGUUCGUAGGCGGCCUUUCAAGUCGGGUGUGAAAUCCCUCGGCUCAACCGAGGAAUUGCGCCUGAUACUGUUGGGCUUGAGGGGGAUAGGGGUGAGCGGAACUGAUGGUGGAGCGGUGAAAUGCGUUGAUAUCAUCAGGAACACCGGUGGCGAAGGCGGCUCACUGGAUCUCUUCUGACGCUGAGGAACGAAAGCUAGGGGAGCGAACGGGAUUAGAUACCCUUGUAGUC
rnacentral:rRNA from 1 species